rnacentral:rRNA from 1 species
GACGAACGCUGGCGGCGUGCCUAAUACAUGCAAGUAGAACGCUGAAGGAGGAGCUUGCUUCUCUGGAUGAGUUGCGAACGGGUGAGUAACGCGUAGGUAACCUGCCUGGUAGCGGGGGAUAACUAUUGGAAACGAUAGCUAAUACCGCAUAAUAGUAGAUGUUGCAUGACAUUUGCUUAAAAGGUGCAAUUGCAUCACUACCAGAUGGCCCUGCGUUGUAUUAGCUAGUUGGUGGGGUAACGGCUCACCAAGGCGACGAUACAUAGCCGACCUGAGAGGGUGAUCGGCCACACUGGGACUGAGACACGGCCCAGACUCCUGCGGGAGGCAGCAGUAGGGAAUCUUCGGCAAUGGACGGAAGUCUGACCGAGCAACGCCGCGUGAGUGAAGAAGGUUUUCGGAUCGUAAAGCUCUGUUGUAAGAGAAGAACGAGUGUGGGAGUGGAAAGUUCACACUGGGACGGGAUCUUACCAGAAAGGGACGGCGAACUACGU